GAUUGGGGAGGGGCAGGAGAGGAGGGAUGUAAACAAAGGCAAACUCCCUUAGUUUCCAUUCCAUUGCUCCCAAACUCCUUCAAACCCUUAGGGAGCACCGGCCAGCUCGCUAGGCUUGUGCUGGGUCUGGACUCCAUUUCCCAGAGUUCCUCGGCGCCUAGUGCGUGGGUGCACGUCGGAGCGCGCCUGCGCGCUGGUGGCUCCGCGUCCCGGGGCAGCGGAAGUUCGCGCAGUGUUCAGAGCCGGGGCUAUUGCUCCACACGUGCUUGCGGCGGUCUUUUGCUGUACACCUUCCAUUCCAGGCAGUUUGCGAGCGCAACACCCGGCCGGCCCCGCUGCUUCUCCUUCCGCUGCUGUCGCUGGGUCCGAGGCCACCCCCACGCGCCGGGGACUUUGCCUGCCCCUCACGCUCCGCCUUGCUGCACCUGCGUGUCCUGGAGCGCGCCGCCGGGCUCCCCGCCAAUUCCCCCGGCAAGUGCGGAGACCAGGGAGGGGCGUGGACGCGGGUGCGAGGGCGGCUGGCGGCUCGGGGACCCGGCUCUGGGUGCGCUGCCCAGCGAGCCGGCGCCCCGAUCCGGGCUGUGGCGGCUCCGACCGCAGCCUUCCAGCCUCCCGGCGCCCCGCGGGCCCCGUGCGCUGCUUCCCUCCAACUUUCCGUCAUGCAUUUUGUUCUGGGGGAGCCUGGCAGGCGAGAGGACGGCGGAGGAAGGCAGCGGGACUCCCCUCGUCCAUAUUUUCAUCGAGCCCCGGUCCCACUUUGGCUUCGUGGAGAGAAUGCCCUCUGGCCGGGCUUCCUGGUCAACCCUGCGGCGGUUCCCGCGGCAGAGCGGGGCUGGUGGCCCCCAGCAAGGAGCCCGGGGCGGCGGGCAGAUGGCUCAGCCUCGCUGCCCCCACUCCGCACGCGCACAGCCCGCAAGCCCCCGCAGUGCCACUCCCCGCUGGUUGUCCUACAGCCCCUGCAGCUGGAAUGUGUUUCCCACGGCAGUGCUCGUGUCCUGCUACUGUGUGAAGAGCUGCCUAGAGACAGCCGUCGGCCCACCUGCUGAAGAAGCGUAUUGCAUGGAUGUUCAUCUGACUGGGAGACGGCCGAGAAUAGGAUGUGUCAACUUGGCAGGUCAUUCCCUGUGCUCCUGGACUUGCUAG
rnacentral:lncRNA from 1 species